UACCUUCAGUUCAGCUUCAACACAAACCAUGUUCCCUGAAUCUCUGCUGUUGGUGCUGGCAGCUGUAUCCUGUGUGUUCUGUCAGACUGAACUCACACAGCCAGGCUCUAUGACCCUGCAGCCUGGACAGCCUCUGACCCUCUCCUGUAAAGUCUCUGGGUAUUCUUUAACCAGCACCAGCUACUGUACAGGUGUGAAUCGCCAACCUGCAGGAAAAGCACUGGAGUGGGUUGGAUAUAUAUGUGGCAGUGGUAAAAUAUAUUACAGUGAUAAACUGAAAAACAAGUUCAGUUUCUCCAGAGACAUUUCCAGCAGCACAAUGACUUUAACUGGACAGAGUCUGCAGACUGAAGACACAGCUGUGUAUUAUUGUGCUCGCUACCCACAAUGAUACAAACCAACACAGGACCUGUACAAAAACUCCAACACAUUCAUAUGAAUAUAAAGGUAUCCAAACACUAAACAUGACACUAGAAAACAAACUUUUAAACAAUUAAAACACAUGUACUUUAUACACAAUUACUGUAUUACUACAAUUUCUUAGCAAUGAUACUCCAUCCAUCAAAUCUGC